GCUUACGGCCAUACCACCUUAGGCACGCCCGAUCUCGUCUGAUCUCGGGAGCUAAGCAGGGUCGCGCCUGGUUAGUACUUGGAUGGGUGACCGCCUGGGAAUACCAGGUUCUGUAAGCA
rnacentral:rRNA from 10 species